CUUCUACUUCUAGUUGGAUAUUAGACUCUGGUUCGAGUACUCAUAUAUGUACCUCAAUGCAGGGUCUAAUAGAAAGUAGGAGGUUGAGGAAAGAUAACAUGAUCUUUUAGAGUGACAAUAGAGCAAAAGUUGCUGCAGAAGCUAUUAACACUUAUACUCUUCAAUUACUAUCUAGUUUUAGAUUAGAUUUAAAAAAAUAUUAUUUUGUUCCUGUAGCU
rnacentral:lncRNA from 1 species